AGAGUUUGAUCCUGGCUCAGGACGAACGCUGGCGGCGUGCUUAACACAUGCAAGUCAAGGGGGCCCAGCAAUGGGCAACCGGCGAACGGGUGCGUAACACGUGAGCAACCUACCGAACUGUGGGGGAUAGCCGGCCUAACGGCCGAGUAAUACCGCAUACGCUUUCAGUGAGGCAUUUCAUUGAAAGGAAACCUACGGGACAGAUCGAGGGGGCUCGCGGGCCUAUCAGCUAGUUGGCGAGGUAAACGGGCUCACCAAGGGCGACGACGGGGUAGCUGGUCUGAAGAGGAUGGGCCCGCCCACAUUGGGGACUGAAAAUACCGGCCCAAACUCCUUACGGGGAGGCAACCAGUGGGGGAAUCUUUGCCGCAAAUGGGCUAAACGGCUGAACCAACCAACCCCCCGUUGGGGGAUUGAAACUUCUUCCGAAUGGAAACCCCUGGUUUGCCGGGGAACAAAAAACUUCGAUUAAUCCAGCCUUGACGUACCCGGGGGAAGAAAAAACCCGGCUAAAUCCCCGGCCCGCCAGCCCCGGGAAUACCGGGGGGGGGGAACGUUUUCCCGAAACCCUGGGCGUAAAAGGGGGCCUAAAUGGUUUUUUAAAGGGGUGGUGGAAAACCGGGGUCCACCCCCGGACUUUCCUGGGCGACUGGUAAAUCCAGGGCUGUAAAGGCGCACAGAAAUUCCCGCGUGGACCAGUAACGCGGAAAGCUUGUCUACACGACAUCCCGACGAAGAGACGCCGUGGCUAAAGGUCUGAUCACGCUGUUUCUUUAUAACUAGAGCGCGACACCGGGUGGGCCACCCCGGGGAUUAGAUUCCCUUGUGUUAGUCACACGCUCGUAAAGGGAUGUGUUACUAGGCUGCCGUGGGGAGAGCGCUCCCUCGUGCGGCGCCGGGCGCUUACCCGCAGGGAUGUUACCCGCGGGGGGAGUACGCCCCGCAAGGGUUAAAACCACAAAGGAAUUGGCGGGGGCCCCCCCCACCACGCGGGGGGAGCAGGUGUUUUAUUUGGCCGCAACGGCGGAAGACCUUUCCUUAGGCUUAACCAUGUACGGACCAAAUUUUUCAGAAACGAAGAGCCCCUUUUUCGGAAGAUCUUCCCACAGGUGCUCCAUGGCUUUGUUCAGCUGGUUUCGGGGGGAUGUGGGGUAAAGUCCCGCCAACGGGGCCCAACCCCUUUUUUUAGUUCCCAGCGCUUAAUGGGCGGGGGACUUUUAGGAAGACUCCCGGUGCCCAACCCGGAGGAAGGUGGGGGACGACGUCCAAGUCCAUUCAUGGUCCUUACGUCUAGGGCUACACACGUGCUACAAUGGGCGGGACAGAGGGGGCCGAGGCAGCAAUGCCAAGGCAAUCCCAAAACCCGUCCUCAGUUCGGAUUGUCGUCUGCAACUCGACGGCAUGAAGCUGGAAUCGCUAGUAAUCGUGGAUCAGCAUCGCCACGGUGAAUACGUUCCCGGGCCUUGUACACACCGCCCGUCACGCCAUGGAAGUGGUGAGCGCCCGAAGUCCGUGUCGGAACCCGCAAGGGGCCAAGCGGCCGAAGGCGAGCAUCAUGACUGGGGCGAAGUCGUAACAAGGUAACC
rnacentral:rRNA from 1 species